UACGUAGGGGGCUAGCGUUGUUCGGAAUUACUGGGCGUAAAGCGCACGUAGGCGGAUUGUUAAGUCGGGGGUGAAAUCCUGAGGCUCAACCUCAGAACUGCCUUCGAUACUGGCAAUCUCGAGUCCGGAAGAGGUGAGUGGAACUCCGAGUGUAGAGGUGAAAUUCGUAGAUAUUCGCAAGAACACCAGUGGCGAAGGCGGCUCACUGGUCCGGUACUGACGCUGAGGUGCGAAAGCGUGGGGAGCAAACAGG
rnacentral:rRNA from 1 species